rnacentral:snRNA from 1 species
GGUUGUGCGCAGUGGUAUUGUAGCCAAUGAGGUUUAUCCGAGGUGCAAUUAUUGUGAAUGGGAAACUUUUGCAAUAACAUCAGCAAACAAGUGUCAUGGACUGUGAAGGCUUUGGGAGUUCAGAGGUAUGAG